rnacentral:rRNA from 1 species
AGUGAACGCUGGCGGUAUGCCUAACACAUGCAAGUCGAACGGCAGCACAGUAAGAGCUUGCUCUUACGGGUGGCGAGUGGCGGACGGGUGAGGAAUACAUCGGAAUCUACUUUUUCGUGGGGGAUAACGUAGGGAAACUUACGCUAAUACCUCAUACGACCUACGGGUGAAAGCAGGGGAUCUUCGGACCUUGCGCGACUGAAUGAGCCGAUGUCGGAUUAGCUAGUUGGCGGGGUAAAGGCCCACCAAGGCGACGAUCCGUAGCUGGUCUGAGAGGAUGAUCAGCCACACUGGAACUGAGACACGGUCCAGACUCCUACGGGAGGCAGCAGUGGGGAAUAUUGGACAAUGGGCGCAAGCCUGAUCCAGCCAUACCGCGUGGGUGAAGAAGGCCUUCGGGUUGUAAAGCCCUUUUGUUGGGAAAGAAAAGCAGCAGGUUAAUACCCCGCUGUUCUGACGGUACCCAAAGAAUAAGCACCGGCUAACUUCGUG